CUUUUGCCUUGGGGUAUAUAAGUAGAUCUCAGUAAAGCCUUGGUGGCACUCUUUGAAAACGGGUGACCCCUGUAUGUGUUUUCAUUCAAUCCCGCAGACCUACACCCAAUAUUCACACACUGGCGGUGCAGGUGCUGACAGACCCUGUUUUGAACUCCUUACCCCCAGAAAGAAUACACGAAGAACACCUACAGCUCAAUAAAAAGAAACAGCUCAGCAGGCGAAGGAUUUGAGUAGCCAUCACUCAGAGGAGAUACAAUCUUACAGAUGAUCAGCUAAGAAGGACAUUCAUGAUCUUUAGUCGUUAGGGCAACCGAGUAGGAAGCGUUAGUGAGGAUGCAGAGGAACUGCAACCUUCAGGUGCCGAUAAUCACAAGGUCAGUGGUCCAGCCUGGGCUCUGGGGAGCAGUCUGGCAAUUCCUCAGUCAUGUAGUUAACAUACCUAAGGUUAAGCCUGCAGAAAUGAAAACAUGUUCACACAUGCUUGCACGUGAAUGCCCUUGGCACCAUAAUCCUUAACAACCCAGAUGCUUGUCAGUCGAGGAACUGAAUGAAGAAUGGUCUCUACAGAAAAUGGAAUAUUACUCAGCCAUCAAAAGAAAUGAGGAGUCCGUCCCUGCUGUAACAUGGAGCCACUGAAAAACAUGUUUGGUUACAGGAGAAGAGGACGAGUCCUGGCGAGGGAUGCUGGUGUGAAUAACCUGAACCGUUUAUUAAAAAUUGGUCAAAGUGGCAAUGCCUUAUUAAUGUUUUCCCACUAUAUCAAACACACUGUCAGAGAAAGAAGCCAGAUCCAAAGGCCGCUUAUGAUAUCAUUUGUAUGACAUGUCAAGAACUGGCCGAUCACGGAGACAGAGGAGAAAUUGGUGGUUGCUUGGGGCUAGAGUUGGGGAUGGGAGGAAAGAAACUCCCAAUAGAUGAGGGUUGCUGGGGGUAUCAUAGAAUAUUCUAGAAUUGGUGGUGUCUGUUGUACAGCUUGUGAAUAUAGUUAAACCCACUGACGGUUUAACUAUAGAUUGUCUGCCAUCAAAAUAAAAAUAAAAUCAUACAGUUCCAUGCUGUAUUUAAAGCAAGUUUCAAUCCAGGGAAUUAACAGAGGUUGCAUGGUUUGUGUGUUUGUGGGUAUCAGUGCAUGGAGAGAGGCAAAAGGUCAACGUGGCUGUCUUUCUCAGUCAUUUGAGACAGGUCUCUCAGUGAACCUGGAGCAGAUGGAUUCAGCUGGACUGGUGGGCCAUGUGUCUCCAAGGGUCCCUGGGUCUCUACUUCUCCAGUGCUGGGCAGAGGUUCUGAGAGCAUCUUCUGAUUCUGGCAUAGUCAGUGUUAUGUCACCUCCCAUAGCAACACUCGAGCCAGAUGUCUUAGCCACGUGAAGGGUUUUACAGUCAGCCGCUGUGUGUUUAGCCUCCCCUUCAGAAUGAAGGGCUGGUGCUUGAUGCUUCUGAGAGCUUCCAGAAGGCCGGAGAGGUUCUGACUCCCCUCCUGUCAGUAGUCAGUAUGUCGCGGCAUGUCCUCACAUAGCCAGUGUUUCCCUGUCUCCCCUUUCUUUACCACUCUGACCUUUCAGGGAAAUAUGAUUUUAAGCUGUACAGAACCCAGGGCUGAUGCCAGGAUGAUGAAGGAGCCGUCCCUGCAAGCACUCUGUUUUCACGGGUGGCUAGCUGGGUUUCUCUGCAUGCCCACGUCCCCUCCCUACUCUAAACAACAGUGGUACCAACCUGAGAGUAGGUGGCAAAUACAGUUUGGGGCUGCUCCCUCACCCCAGUCAGCACCUACAUCCUGGCCAAGUGUGGUUGCCAGGACCCCGCAGGUUCCUUGGUAGUUUCUGUUUGGUAGUACUUAUCUUCCCGGGUUAAUGGUUUAAUGCAGAGAGACUUUUCUCCGUGGUGCUACCCGUCAGUUGCCCAUACUGCCAGUUGGUUUCUUGGUUGGCCAUGCUAGACUUGGGUGGAGGCUGACAGCCUAACUACUGGCUCUCUGUGAAUCUAUUUUUCUAUUGCCUGGCCCUGUUGCUGCCCGCCUCAACUUGUAGCUCAAGGUAGGAUUUUUAUUGGUGACUACCGUUUGCAGCGCUGGGCCUUGCUGCGGAGCGGAACUAUGGAACUACAUGUCCAGUCCCUACGGUGCAAGAGUUUACCUCAGCUGGAGACCGCAGUCUCUUUGAGCCUCACCCCAAGACCUUGCAAAUACCUGUAUAACCCAGCUCGAACCUUGAUUUGGGGGAAAGGAAGCAGGACCUACUCAGGGAAAAUGAAAUCAAUGAGAAAACACAUAAAUCAAGGUCUUCAUUGGGCCCUUUGUCAUAGCCUACGCCUGGACACCUCCCCAAGAAAUAAUGGCCCACUACGCCGGUGGCCUCCAGAGGGCGCGCGCGACCCGAGCAGAGCCUGAGGAGGGAGUGUGACCGCCUGCAGGCAGUUCCAGCCGGCUUGGGUGAAGGCACCUGGGAGAUGCAGAGAGCUGCCACAAGGUGGAUAACUUGGCCGUGGUACUGGCACCCUUGGAUCUCUGCUGCAAAAGGAGAGCAUCCCCAAAUGCCAUCCUUGAGCAUUGCCAGAUGGAGGGUGAGCUGGAGUGUUGCAGGUGGCGCUGCUCCCAUAGUUUCAGUGUCCUUGUCCUAAUGGAUUUAUUUGCUUUCUCAGAAGAGAGAUGAGAAGAUGGGAGCUGUCAGACCCACCCUUUCCAGGGUUUCCUUGCGAGGUGCCAGCCUCCAGCGCCAGGAAGCACCUGACGGUGUCUGCUCUUCCUGCACAGCCCCGGCUCUCACAAUACUCUGUACCAUACUUGGGCUCAGCCGCCCUCUACCCAAUGCUUGCCUCUGUAACUCCCCUCAUUCUUAUCACUUACCUGAAACCGGCACCUCCCCUGCCCCCCCCCCUGCAGCAUCUGGGUUGUUCGGUACUCACCCUCUCCUGAUCUCCCAGCACCUGGAGUUGUGUGCUCUUAGCACACAUCUGUAAAUGAAUCGAAGGUAAACAAGGUGGGCUCAAAGACUCAACGUGGAGGACAGAAUAGCUGCAAGUCGGAAUGACCCUCCUGAGCUGCUGGCAUCAGAAUCAACCGGCGAACUCUACAACUUUCUCCUCUGCCUCCUGAAGCAGAGACUCCCAGGUCAGGUCUAGGGGAUGCAUAUAUUUUAAAACCCCACAUGGGAGCUCAGAAGUGCAGGCCAGAUUGAGAAGUCACGGUGAAUUCCAGGAAUGCUGCAGUCUGCUCUCCACGGACACCUUCUCUCUGCCUGGCAGCCCGCUUUCUCAGCUGAGGCAAGGUCCCCAAGCUGUACGUCUUCACCAGGCAGAAGCAGUGACCCUACAGGAAAUCUGAAUCCACCGUGAGCCUCAGCAGACUGACCAGGAACGGGAUCAAGAUACAGGGCAGAUACAAGGAGGGAAGUGACUGGCUUGGGAUAAAUUACAGAGCCCAUUCUAGAGAGGAGGCCUUAAUCCGUCCUCAAGAUCUUAGAGCUCCACCACUUCCAGAGCAGCUGUGAAUCACUCAUACCACUUGGUCCCUUGGGACUGUCAGAUUCUCAAACAGUGAGAAUUUGGUUUCGAUACCAGAGAAUCUGACAGUCAUAGCCAACGAGAGAAUGAAGGCCAGCCGCUUCUAAAGAGAACUACCAUGAAAAAAAAAGUCAUCGAAACAUGAAGUUGGGAAUCUAGGCAACAACAAACUUGAAGCAAUGUGUAGGGUGAUGAGGGAGGCGUGGGUUCGAAUCCCAGCUCUACCACUGCAGGCUAUCGGAUCCCAGACAGUGAACAUAGCCUGCCCGUGCCUCGGUUUUCCCACCUUCAACGUAGAGAUGAAGACAGAAGCUGCUUUGUAAGUUGUUCUGCAUGGGAAGGCUGAAGAAAUCCCACACCAUGUGGAGCCUGUCACUGAGGAAGGGCUCCGGCUGGCUUCCAUCUCUCUCCACAGCCCUGCCCACAGACAGGGAAGAGGGGUCUUGUCUCUGACAUGCUCGCUCUGCAAACCUUGUGCACAAUGGCUUUGUGGCUCUCUGUCCCACUCCCUUCCGAGGUUCUCUGGCCCGUUGGAUUUCUGGCCAGAAAUUUAAUGGCUGUCAGGAUUCUCAUCAUGACAUCACCAGACAAUGUCAGUGGGAACUCAGUGUCUAUAAAAUGAUUCAAAGUCAA
rnacentral:sRNA from 1 species